rnacentral:rRNA from 1 species
GAGACACGCUGGCGGCGUGCUUAACACAUGCAAGUCGAACGGAGUUACGUAUGAAGUAUUUCGGUACGGACUACAUAACUUAGUGGCGAACGGGUGAGUAACACGUGGGCAACCUGCCCUUAACCGGGGGAUAACAUUGUGAAAACAGUGCUAAUACCGCAUAACAGAGUAUCGGGCAUCCGAUAUUUUAAAAGGAGCAAUCCGGUUUAGGAUGGGCCCGCGUCCAAUUAGCUAGUUGGUGAGGUAACGGCUCACCAAGGCUACGAUUGGUAGCCGAACUGAGAGGUUGAUCGGCCACAUUGGGACUGAGACACGGCCCAGACUCCUACGGGAGGCAGCAGUGGGGAAUAUUGGACAAUGGGCGCAAGCCUGAUCCAGCAAUGCCGCGUGCAGGAUGAAGGCCUUCGGGUUGUAAACUGCUUUUGUACGGAGCGAAACGGUCUACCCUAAUACGGUGGGCUAAUGACGGUACCGUAAGAAUAAGCACCGGCUAACUACGUG